rnacentral:lncRNA from 13 species
AAGGAGAGCACCUGUUGUCAAGGCAGGCCCGGCACUCUCACUCUUCAUAAUAGAAACCCACUGCCUGACAAAUGUCACCCAAGUUCUACACGAUUUUUCAAGUACCUUGACGGUUGUCAGAAUCAAAGUGCAGUCGCUUGUGUUGAAACCUGGACGGGCGGAGCUGGGGAGGGCCUUGAGGGGGCCACGAAAGCCUGACAAGAGCUAUCACAGAAGACGCUGCAGACUCCACAUCCCUGCGUGACAGCCCCGGCGACCUCACACAGAAAGCAUCUCUGUGAGCACGUCUGCCCAGCGCCCGCCUGAACAACCCCACCCUGGCACCACCCAAGGGUUCAAAGUGGGUCAUAAAGCAGCAGAGACAACGGGCGUCGUCAACAACGCAUUUGGCCCAGGAGCUGCGAAGGAACAUACCCCGCAGCGGUGGCGCAGGAAGGUGUUGCAAAAUGACGAGAGCCUUGAAAUGAGGACGCUGACGAUGAGGAGCAGAGAGCAGUCAUCAGGCCGAUUCCCAACUACCCGGAGGCUGCCAGGGAACUCAACGCCGGCCGUUCUGUGCCUGUUCAGUGUUUGAAGCAAAUGGGAAAGGUGAGAAGGCUCCACAAGUGAUUGCCUCAGGAGCUGAGUGAAAAAUUAAAAAAAAAAAAAGUCGUUGUGAAGUGUCCUCUUCUGUCAUCUGCACAAAAUGAACCGUUUCUCAAUCAGAUCGUGACGUGUGACGAAAAGUGGAUUUCAUACGACAAGCAGCGAUCACCAGCUCAGUGGAGAAGAAGCUCCUCAGAACUUCCCAAAGCCGAACUUGCCCCCAAAAUCGGUCCCGGUCACUGUCUGGUGGUCUGCUGCAGUUCUGAAUCCAAGUGAAGCCGUUCCAUGUGAGGAGUGUGCUCAGAACAUCGGUGAGGUGCACCCAAAACUGCAGCGCCGGAUCAACAGACAGGGCCCAGUUGUUCCCCCUCAAUAAGCCGACCCCACGUCACACAAGCCAGCGCUUCAAAAGUGGAACAAAUGGGCUACACGUUUUGCCUCAUCCGCCAUGUUCACCUGACCUCUCACCGACGGAUCACCACUUCUGCAUGUGGACAUCACCUGACCUCUCGCCGACAGAUCACCACUUCUGCAUGUGGACAUCACCUGACCUCUCUCCAACAGAUCAC